GGCAAUGUAGUUUAAAUAGAACGUCUAGCUUGCACCUAGAUAGAGGGAACCACUCCCCAGAGCCA
rnacentral:tRNA from 1 species